rnacentral:rRNA from 1 species
UACGUAGGGUGCAGGCGUUAAUCGGAAUUACUGGGCGUAAAGCGUGCGCAGGCGGUCUUUUAAGUCAGAUGUGAAAUCCCCGGGCUUAACCUGGGAACUGCGUUUGAAACUGGAAGGCUAGAGUGUGGCAGAGGGGGGUGGAAUUCCACGUGUAGCAGUGAAAUGCGUAGAUAUCGAGAGGAACACCUGCGGCGAAGGCGGGUUGCUGGGCCGACACUGACGCUGAGGCGCGAAAGCCAGGGGAGCGAACGGG